rnacentral:rRNA from 1 species
UACGUAGGGUGCGAGCGUUAUUCGGAUUUACUGGGCGUAAAGCGUGCGUAGGCGGUUUUGUAAGUCGGAUGUGAAAUCCCCGGGCUUAACCUGGGAAUGGCAUUUGGGACUGCAAGGCUGGAGUUUGGCAGAGGAGACUGGAAUUCCCGGUGUAGCAGUGAAAUGCGUAGAUAUCGGGAGGAAUACCGAUGGCGAAGGCAGGUCUCUGGGCUAUAACUGACGCUCAUGCACGAAAGCGUGGGGAGCAAACAGG